rnacentral:rRNA from 1 species
UCUGUGAUGCCCUUAGAUGUUCUGGGCUGCACGCGCGCGACACUGAUCUAUUCAACGAGUGGCUGUGUCGAUAGACUUGGCAAAUCUUGUGAAAGUAGAUCGUGAUGGGGAUUGAUGCUUGUAAUUGUUCAUCAUGAACGAGGAAUUCCUAGUAAACGCAAGUCAUCAACUUGCAUUGAUUACGUCCCUGCCCUUUGUACACACCGCCCGUCGCACCUACCGAUUGAAUGGUCCGAUGAACACUUUGGAUUUUAGUAAA